rnacentral:rRNA from 1 species
GAUGAACGCUAGCGGCAGGCCUAAUACAUGCAAGUCGAACGGUGUAGCAAUACACAGUGGCGCACGGGUGCGUAACACGUAUGCAACCUACCUUACAUUGGGGGAUAGCCUUUCGGAAGGGAGAUUAAUACCGCAUAAGACAGUAACUAGGCAUCUAGUAGCUGUUAAAGAUUUAUCGAUGUAAGCUGGGCAUGCGUCCAAUUAGUUAGUUGGCGAGGUAAUGGCUCACCAAGACGAUGAUUGGUAGGGGAACUGAGAGGUCAAUCCCCCACACUGGCACUGGGAUACGGGCCAGACUCCUACGGGAGGCAGCAGUAGGGAAUAUUGGGCAAUGGGCGCAAGCCUGACCCAGCCAUGCCGCGUGCAGGAAGAAGGCGUUAUGCGUUGUAAACUGCUUUUAUACAGGAAGAAACGACCCUUGCGAGGGGCAUUGACGGUACUGUAUGAAUAAGCACCGGCUAACUCCGUGCCAGCCGCCGCGGUAAAAC